rnacentral:rRNA from 1 species
GACGAACGCUGGCGGCGUGCUUAACACAUGCAAGUCGAACGGAAAGGCCCUGCUUUUGUGGGGUGCUCGAGUGGCGAACGGGUGAGUAACACGUGAGUAACCUGCCCUUGACUUUGGGAUAACUUCAGGAAACUGGGGCUAAUAUCGGAUAGGAGCUCUUGCUGCAUGGUGGGGGUUGGAAAGUUUCGGCGGUUGGGGAUGGACUCGCGGCUUAUCAGCUUGUUGGUGGGGUAGUGGCUUACCAAGGCUUUGACGGGUAGCCGGCCUGAGAGGGUGACCGGCCACCUUGGGACUGAGGUACGGCCCAGACUCCUACGGGAGGCAGCAGUGGGGAAUAUUGCACAGUGGGCGGAAGCCUGAUGCAGCAACGCCGCGUGCGGGAUGACGGCCUUCGGGUUGUAAACCGCUUUCGCCUGUGACGAAGCGUGAGUGACGGUAAUGAGUAAAGAAGCACCGGCUAACUACGUG